rnacentral:rRNA from 1 species
UCGGGAAUUUUGGGCAAUGGGCGAAAGCCUGACCCAGCAACGCCGCGUGAAGGAUGAAGUAUUUCGGUAUGUAAACUUCGAAAGAAUAGGAAGAAUAAAUGACGGUACUAUUUAUAAGGUCCGGCUAACUACGUGCCAGCAGCCGCGGUAAUACGUAGGGACCAAGCGUUGUUCGGAUUUACUGGGCGUAAAGGGCGCGUAGGCGGCAAUUCAAGUCAUCUGUGAAAUCUCCGGGCUUAACUCGGAACGGUCAGAUGAUACUGCUUUGCUAGAGUGCAGAAGGGGCAAUCGGAAUUCUUGGUGUAGCGGUGAAAUGCGUAGAUAUCAAGAGGAACACCUGAGGUGAAGACGGGUUGCUGGGCUGACACUGACGCUGAGGUGCGAAAGCGUGGGGAGCAAACAGGAUUAGAUACCCCCGUAGUCCCUGAGCGGGCUGGCAAGGCGCAU